GACGAACGCUGGCGGCGUGCUUAACGCAUGCAAGUCGAACGGAAAGGCCCUGCUUUUGUGGGGUGCUCGAGUGGCGAACGGGUGAGUAACACGUGAGUAACCUGCCCUUGACUUUGGGAUAACUUCAGGAAACUGGGGCUAAUACCGGAUAGGAGCUCCUGCUGCAUGGUGGGGGUUGGAAAGUUUCGGCGGUUGGGGAUGGACUCGCGGCUUAUCAGCUUGUUGGUGGGGUAGUGGCUUACCAAGGCUUUGACGGGUAGCCGGCCUGAGAGGGUGACCGGCCACAUUGGGACUGAGAUACGGCCCAGACUCCUACGGGAGGCAGCAGUGGGGAAUAUUGCACAAUGGGCGGAAGCCUGAUGCAGCAACGCCGCGUGCGGGAUGACGGCCUUCGGGCUGUAAACCGCUUUCGCCUGUGACGAAGCGUGAGUGACGGUAAUGGGUAAAGAAGCACCGGCUAACUACGU
rnacentral:rRNA from 1 species